rnacentral:rRNA from 1 species
UACGUAGGGUGCAAGCGUUGUCCGGAUUUAUUGGGCGUAAAGAGCUCGUAGGCGGUUUGUCGCGUCGGAUGUGAAAACCCAGGGCUCAACCCCGGGCCUGCAUUCGAUACGGGCAGACUAGAGUAUGGCAGGGGAGACUGGAAUUCCUGGUGUAGCGGUGAAAUGCGCAGAUAUCAGGAGGAACACCGGUGGCGAAGGCGGGUCACUGGGCCAAAACUGACGCUGAGGAGCGAAAGCGUGGGGAGCGAACAGG